AGAGCAAGAUGAGAAACAGCAAAAGAUCAGUCCUGGCAUGGUGUUGCUUUUUGUUUAAGCAGGGCUAAUAUCUUGGAGCCAGGAUGUGAAAACACAGAUGACUUGUGGCCAGCAAAAUUUUUGUUUUACUUCAGACUGAGCUGUAAUCCGAUACAACCAGUCAGCAGCAGCCAGCCCGCCUUCAGAGCAUAGCCUGGGGCGUCCAGCGUAAUUCCAGCAGACAAGUCUGCCUAGUCCUGUCCUGAAUACUUUUCUUUAGGAUUUGAGGAAGGGGCAACUCCACCUACAGGACUCCCAGAAUCAACACGCUGACCAGUGGUACCAGGACCUGACUAGGUGGCACGUGUCAGGUGGAGACAGCGGACCAAUGCUCGCCUUCAGGUUUGCGCCUGUGUAAGCCAGCGGCUCAUUCACUCAUCUGUCAUCACUGGGCCGCGGCCGGCCGCGCAGCGUCCCCUGGCUUAAGCCUUUUCGUGAGGUGGUUCGACAGCGUCCCCACAACCUCAUCUUCAAUUAAGGCGGCUCUCGCCCAGGAGCAUCUUUUUAGUCGGAUUUUUGGAAGAAAGUGCAACUGGCGCUGGAUUUCCUUCCCAACCCUGAAACAGCAAAGGUUGUUCUUAGUUAAAAACACAACUCAUAAAACAAGACAACUACCAGGAAACUAAAGAGCAGAUGAAAUGAGAAGAUGUGACUUUACAAUUCCUACACUCGCAGGCUGGAGUGCAGAUGGAAUGCAGCAGGGACUCAACGAAAAAAAAAUGCAAUUUCAUUAAUUUUGGAGGAUAAAAGCAUCAUAUGCACAGAAGAAAUUGUGCCAGCGAAUCGGUGUGCUUCCCUAGACACACAAGAAGGAGAAACGGUGUCGCGUGCUGCAGGUAAAAAAAGUGUCAGCAUUGCCUAUAUAAGAUGCUGAGAGGAAAAAUGAGCUGGAAGGCACAUCUGCAGCCCCAGAUCACAUUUUCACUUUAUGCUGAUAAGCUUGAGUGUCUACGAGUAUCCGAUAAUGCGAUGUUGCACUCUCCUUGGGCACAGAAAUCCUGACUGACAGUUCAUAAUAAAAGCAGGCGACUUAACAGAUCAUCCAUUUCCUUCCUUUAUUUCCUUCUUUCUUUUCCUGAAGCUGAAGUGCUCUUGCAUGAAGUGAGUCUUUUGAACACACCAAUUAAUGAAGAUGUCUUUAGCAGAGAUGGCGUGAUUUGCAAACACUGACGUCUGACAGGAAAUGAAGGGAAUUCUUUCUACGGAAAAAAUCAACUUUGAAAAGCACUCUGAAAUUCUC